AUUCAGUUCAUUCUGACCAGGUUUAUAAGUUUGUGAUACUUGACAGUGUUGAUGUUUGGACGGUUAAAUAGCCCGGGGUACAGAGCCCAGCGAUUUCUAGUGGUCUCCCAUUUCUGUCGUCGUCGGUAAUGGGUGAUGUGUGUGGACCGGAAGCCACGUAUAUAACCAAUGAGACAUUCCAUACUCCAAGUUUUGAUGACGAUUUUGACAUCACACCUUUGAACUCCCUUCCAGUAUCUAACAGUGUGUCGCACGCCUUACCGCAGGUCCAGACCAGCUACUCACAGCAUUCCUACCCUCAGUUUGUCUCCCAUCAAUAUCAUCCCUACUCACAGCAUCAUCACACCCCAGUCACCAGUGUUGCCCCUUUGAGUACAACACCGAUAUUUCCCCCUCAGAACUUUGAUAUUCCUGACAUUUCCCUCACAAACAAUUUUGACCCCUUAGUGAAUUCUCUGACGUCUAUGGCCAUGAUGACCAGCUCUAUAGACAAUGGCAAUCCAAAUUCAUCUUUUGUGCAGUCCUCAAUGGCUGUCACCGCCCCUACAAUGGCCAACAAUGCUGCUAUCUCAGUCAUUAAAAUGGACGACAAAUAUAUGGAACCGAACCAGCAGACUUCUCCAAGCCACAGCUCGAACUCCAUCUCUCCACCAAGGGAAAGCAGUGAGGAUAGCAGCGAUGAUUGUCUCCCCCUGGCCCAGCUCAUGAAAAGACAGGCAGCAGCAAAAUCAAUUGUUGAAGAGAAAGAACCCUCCCCUCCUCCUCCAACUGGAGUCACUAAAACCAGAAAAACACCCAAAAAGAAGAAAAAGAAGGACCCUAAUGAGCCUCAAAAGCCAGUUUCAGCCUAUGCCUUAUUUUUCCGGGAUACACAAGCAGCAAUAAAGGGAGGGAACCCCUCGGCCAGCUUUGGUGAAGUCUCCAAAAUCGUAGCUUCAAUGUGGGAUAGCCUGGACCCAGACACUAAAAAUAGUCUAAAUCAUGAUGUUGACCUGGUACUGUGGAUUUGGAAUAACACAUUCUCCAUAGUAAAAACUGCUGUUAUUGUCAGGGAUAAUUUGAGGCCAUUUUUACAGAAGUGGCCAUUAAGGAGCAUCAGAUAGAACAAGAUUGAUGGAGCCAUGCUGAAGCACACACAAUAUCUGCUUUAUCUUUUGAUUGGUGUAUAAAAAAAAGACAGAGUUAGCUAAAAAGGAAUAUCUAAAACAAUUGGCUGCUUACAGAGCAAGUCUUGUCUCUCAGUUACCCAUGGAUGACAACAAUCCAUAUGGAAACCUUAUGGACAAGAACCAGUUUGUACGCCAAGCCCAGAACUCUCCCAUGCACAUGUCCCCCAAUGUGUCUCCACCCCAGGGUGCCUGGCCGAUGACCUCAAUGACCAUGCAGAACCAGUCCCCACCUGGUCUUCAUGGCAUGUCCCCCCAGGGUCACUCUCCGGACAGCCAUGGAAUGUCCCCACAGGGUCAAGGGAUCUCCCCCCUUCAUCAUGGAGCCAACAUGUCACCUUCCAUGGGGGACAUGAUGAUGGGGCCUCCCUCCAACAGCCCCCCUAAUAUGGGCUACAGUCCUCAGCAUCCUCAUGUGAGCCCCCAGCACAUGGUGUCCUCACCCCCAAGACCUGUCCAACAAAUUGCUCCUAGACAGCCAGUCCUUGGACAACUGAUGGAGGAGGCUAAUAUUUGUUUGGAUGGAGGAGAUAUGAUGCAGUCGAUGUGUAUCCGAAACGGUUGUACAAACCCCACCAUUGAGAGUCCAGGCUGGGACAAUGAGUACUGCUCAAAUGAGUGUGUGGUCAACCACUGCAGGGAUGUGUUUACAGCAUGGGUUUCCUCUCGACAAGGCUCAAACCAGUUUACUGUGAAAUGAUCUGUUUACGCCGAAGGCACGUGUUAAAUAAACGUACAACAGACCUGUGAAUAGUGCAAGGGAGAGAAUCCAUGUUGUGUCAGCUAGUGUCUCCUGCAGUGGAGGCUGUGGAGUGGGAGAUUGUGGACGUGAUAAGGCAGAAGACGUGGACUCUGUUCAUUACACUUUGUUGACAAGGCUAUCAGAGUUACUUCCCUUGUUAGUUUUUAUGAGAAAUAAUCUCCCGUAUUGUAUAUGCAUUUGACUGUAUGUCUGUUUGUAAUAUUUAUAGCAUUCCCAGUGGUAGAAUAUUUAAUUGUUCAAUCACAGUACUCGUGUAACUGCAGUAAUUUUGUGAAUAUGCGUAAUAAGGCACUGAUGCUAUAACUAGUAUGAAAAUUGCUGGGUAAUUGUUGUUUUCCAAGAAAUUAAUGUGAAUCCGUUGACUUCAUUAUUCAUCUUAAUGGUUAUAAUGUUUGUUCAUUUAUCAAACAAACAUUUAUUAUGAUUGCUUUUCAUUUACGAAUAACAAUGCCCAUUGUUGACAUUAUCUAGGCAGUGCUUUCCUAUUUCUGUGUUGACAUCCAGGAGGGUCGUUCUUGCUAUUACGAUUGUUAUUAUUUAUAUCAUUUAUGUCAAUUGUAUAGACAUUUUUUAUACCUGUCUGGCAAAUAAGUAUCAAACCAGUCGCAGGGUCUAAUUUAGAUGUUCAGAAAUUAUCAUUUGUAGCAAACAUUUUGUUUGGAUAACUAAGGUAGAUUGUUAAGACAUUAGAAUUAUUUAUGGGAACAACCUGUUAGGAAAUAGCAUAUCAUGAAACAUGAAAAUGAGAGAAAAAAAUUAAAAGAUUGGAAAUUUCAAAAAAAUUCCAGAACAAAAAAUAUUAAUAUAUUUAGUCUGUUGAGUUGUUUAACUUUUCUAUACUUUGAAAGAGAGAAGUAAACCAAAAUUUACAAGGAUAAAAAACACUUGGCAGUCUGUUUGUAUAAACAUACAUGUACUUGUUUCUAUUGUUAAUUGUGAUUGCCCUAAUGUGAAGGGCAAUACAAAUAAACACACAGAUGGAAAUGGAUGCAAUGACUUUGUAUUGAGAUCUGUGCUUAAUGUUAAUUAAAAGAAUCCGCUUAU
rnacentral:misc_RNA from 1 species